GCGGCGUGCUUAACACAUGCAAGUCGAACGAAGCAUUUGCGACAGAUUUCUUCGGAUUGAAGUUGCUUAUGACUGAGUGGCGGACGGGUGAGUAACGCGUGGGUAACCUGCCUCAUACAGGGGGAUAGCAGCUGGAAACGGCUGGUAAUACCGCAUAAGCGCACAGUACCACAUGGUACAGUGUGAAAAACUCCGGUGGUAUGAGAUGGACCCGCGUCUGAUUAGCUGGUUGGCGGGGUAACGGCCCACCAAGGCGACGAUCAGUAGCCGACCUGAGAGGGUGACCGGCCACAUUGGGACUGAGACACGGCCCAGACUCCUACGGGAGGCAGCAGUGGGGAAUAUUGCACAAUGGAGGAAACUCUGAUGCAGCGACGCCGCGUGAGUGAAGAAGUAGUUCGCUAUGUAAAGCUCUAUCAGCAGGGAAGAUAGUGACGGUACCUGACUAAGAAGCUCCGGCUAAAUACGUGCCAGCAGCCGCGGUAAUACGUAUGGAGCAAGCGUUAUCCGGAUUUACUGGGUGUAAAGGGAGUGUAGGUGGCCAGGCAAGUCAGAAGUGAAAGCCCGGGGCUCAACCCCGGGACUGCUUUUGAAACUGCAGGGCUAGAGUGCAGGAGGGGCAAGUGGAAUUCCUAGUGUAGCGGUGAAAUGCGUAGAUAUUAGGAGGAACACCAGUGGCGAAGGCGGCUUGCUGGACUGUAACUGACACUGAGGCUCGAAAGCGUGGGGAGCAAACAGGAUUAGAUACCCUGGUAGUCCACACUGUAAACGAUGAUUACUAGGUGUUGGAGGAUUGACCCCUUCAGUGCCGCAGUUAACACAAUAAGUAAUCCACCUGGGGAGUACGACCGCAAGGUUGAAACUCAAAGGAAUUGACGGGGGCCCGCACAAGCAGUGGAGUAUGUGGUUUAAUUCGACGCAACGCGAAGAACCUUACCAAGUCUUGACAUCCUGCGACGGUUCUGGAAACAGAACUUUCCUUCGGGACGCAGAGACAGGUGGUGCAUGGUUGUCGUCAGCUCGUGUCGUGAGAUGUUGGGUUAAGUCCCGCAACGAGCGCAACCCUUAUGGUCAGUUACUACGCAAGAGGACUCUGGCCAGACUGCCGUUGACAAAACGGAGGAAGGUGGGGAUGACGUCAAAUCAUCAUGCCCUUUAUGACUUGGGCUACACACGUACUACAAUGGCGUUAAACAAAGAGAAGCAAGACCGCGAGGUGGAGCAAAACUCAGAAACAACGUCCCAGUUCGGACUGCAGGCUGCAACUCGCCUGCACGAAGUCGGAAUUGCUAGUAAUCGCAGAUCAGCAUGCUGCGGUGAAUACGUUCCCGGGCCUUGUACACACCGCCCGUCACACCAUGAGAGCCGGGGGGACCCGAAGUCGGUAGUCUAACCGCAAGGAGGACGCCGCCGAAGGUAAAACUGGUGAUUGGGGUGAAGUCAUAACA
rnacentral:rRNA from 1 species